rnacentral:pre_miRNA from 1 species
GGGAGGAGCUCGGAUCCUGGGCCGUGUCCCCGGCGCCCUGUGCUCUGCGGCCUGCGCUGGUGGAUUUGCGCUCCUGGCCGGGCAGCCCCCU